UACGGAGGGUGCAAGCGUUAAUCGGAAUUACUGGGCGUAAAGCGCACGCAGGUGGCUGAGUCAGUCGAUUGUGAAAGCCCUGGGCUUAACCUGGGAAUUGCAGUCGAUACUACUCAGCUAGAGUAUGGGAGAGGGCAGUGGAAUUCCCGGUGUAGCGGUGAAAUGCGUAGAUAUCGGGAGGAACAUCAGUGGCGAAGGCGGCUGUCUGGCCCAAUACUGACACUCAGGUGCGACAGCGUGGGAGCAAACAGGG
rnacentral:rRNA from 1 species